AACGAACGCUGGCGGCAUGCCUAACACAUGCAAGUCGAACGAACCCUUCGGGGUUAGUGGCGCACGGGUGCGUAACACGUGGGAAUCUGCCCUUUGCUUCGGAAUAACAGUUAGAAAUGACUGCUAAUACCGGAUAAUGUCGCAAGACCAAAGAUUUAUCGGCAAAGGAUGAGCCCGCGUAGGAUUAGCUAGUUGGUGGGGUAAAAGCUCACCAAGGCGACGAUCCUUAGCUGGUCUGAGAGGAUGAUCAGCCACACUGGGACUGAGACACGGCCCAGACUCCUACGGGAGGCAGCAGUGGGAAUAUUGGACAAUGGGCGAAAGCCUGAUCCAGCAAUGCCGCGUGAGUGAUGAAGGCCUUAGGGUUGUAAAGCUCUUUUACCAGGGAUGAUAAUGACAGUACCUGGAGAAUAAGCUCCGGCUAACUCCGUGCCAGCAGCCGCGGUAAU
rnacentral:rRNA from 1 species